AAAUUGAAGAGUUUGAUCAUGGCUCAGAUUGAACGCUGGCGGCAGGCCUAACACAUGCAAGUCGAGCGGAAACGAGUUAUCUGAACCUUCGGG
rnacentral:rRNA from 1 species